AAAAUUAUCUUCAUUAUGGAUGUCUUCACCAUGACUUGGGCUCCACUGUUCCUUGUCUUCCUUCAUCAUUUAACAGGGUCAUAUGCCCAGUUUGUGUUGACUCAGCCAAAAUCUGUGUCAGGAUCACAAGGAAGCACAGUCUCCCUCUCCUGCAAGCUCAGCGGUGGUAACUUUGGAAGUAGCUUUGUGCACUGGUACCAGCAGCACCUGGGACGACCCCCAACCCCUGUGAUAUAUGGAAAUGAUAAGAGGCCAACAGGGGUUCCUGAUAGAUUCUCAGGCUCCGUUGACAGCUCCUCCAACUCAGCCUCACUGAUGAUCACUAAUGCACUGGCUGAGGAUGAGGCUGACUACUAUUGUCAGUCUUCUGAGACUUUUGGUGAUCACAGUGAUGUGAACCUUGGAAGAAGUGAGACAAAAGCCUCCCAGAGCACUGGAUGUGAAAGCAUUUGUGACAAGACUAUCACUUUGUUGGGUUUUUUUUCUAAACGUAGUGCCAUUGAGGCUGUUAAAUCAUAA